CUCCUUGAUCGGCUCCACGCGCAUCUUCUCGCGGGGCAGGAGGGCCUCGUAGCAGGGGGCAUAGCCUGGUGGGGGCAGGAACUUGAAGUCUCCGUGACGGCCCCCUAGGAGGAAGCGCACCCUACAAGGGGGAGAAAGAGAGAAAGAGCGUCAGGGACCACCUAAUGGCGCAGUGGGAGAAAUGACUUGACUAGCAAGCCAGAGGUUGCGGUUCGAAUCCCAUCUGGCUAAACAUACCCAGCUCCUUAGCCUGCCUCGCCUGUUCGCCCCACCUGUGCCCACAGGACCAGGCGGACUCACUUGAUGCCUGCAGAGAAGCUGACCACAGGGAAGAAGAGC